AAUGAGCCUGCGAGUUGUGGUGUCUGGCAAGGUUAAGCAAACGCGAAGCCGUAGCGAAAGCGAGUCUGAAUAGGGCGCUUAGUCAGAUGCUGCAGACCCGAAACGAAGUGAUCUAUCCAUGAGCAAGUUGAAGCUAGUGUAAGAACUAGUGGAGGACUGAACCCAUAGGCGUUGAAAAGCCCCGGGAUGACUUGUGGAUAGGGGUGAAAGGCCAAUCAAACUUCGUGAUAGCUGGUUCUCUCCGAAAUAUAUUUAGGUAUAGCGUUGUGUCGUAAUAUAAGGGGGUAGAGCACUGAAUGGGCUAGGGCAUACACCAAUGUACCAAACCCUAUCAAACUCCGAAUACCUUAUAUGUAAUCACAGCAGUCAGGCGGCGAGUGAUAAAAUCCGUCGUCAAGAGGGAAACAACCCAGACUACCAGCUAAGGUCCCUAAAUCUUACUUAAGUGGAAAACGAUGUGAAGUUACUUAAACAACCAGGAGGUUGGCUUAGAAGCAGCCAUCCUUUAAAGAAAGCGUAAUAGCUCACUGGUCUAGUGAUUUUGCGCGGAAAAUAUAACGGGGCUAAAGUAAGUACCGAAGCUGUAGACUUAGUUUACUAAGUGGUAGGAGAGCGUUCUAUUUGCGUCGAAGGUAUACCGGUAAGGAGUGCUGGAGCGAAUAGAAGUGAGCAUGCAGGCAUGAGUAGCGAUAAUUAAUGUGAGAAUCAUUAACGCCGUAAACCCAAGGUUUCCUACGCGAUGCUCGUCAUCGUAGGGUUAGUCGGGUCCUAAGUCGAGUCCGAAAGGGGUAGACGAUGGCAAAUUGGUUAAUAUUCCAAUACCAACAUUAGUGUGCGAUGGAAGGACGCUUAGGGCUAAGGGGGCUAGCGGAUGGAAGUGCUAGUCUAA
rnacentral:rRNA from 1 species